rnacentral:rRNA from 1 species
CGAGCGAAGCGGGAAAAGCUCAAAUUUGUAAUCUGGCGUCUUCGACGUCCGAGUUGUAAUCUCGAGAAGUGUUUUCCGUGAUAGACCGCAUACAAGUCUCUUGGAACAGAGCGUCAUAGUGGUGAGAACCCAGUACACGAUGCGGAUGCCUAUUACUUUGUGAUACACUUUCGAAGAGUCGAGUUGUUUGGGAAUGCAGCUCAAAUUGGGUGGUAAAUUCCAUCUAAAGCUAAAUAUUGGCGAGAGACCGAUAGCGAACAAGUACCGUGAGGGAAAGAUGAAAAGCACUUUGGAAAGAGAGUUAACAGUACGUGAAAUUGUUGGAAGGGAAACACAUGCAGUGAUACUUGCUAUUCGGGGCAACUCGAUUGGCAGGCCCGCAUCAGUUUUUCGGGGCGGAAAAGCAUAGAGAGAAGGUAGCAGUUUCGGCUGUGUUAUAGCUCUUUAUUGGAUUCGCCCUGGGGGACUGAGGAACGCAGCGUGCUUUUAGCAUAAGCUUCGGCUUAUCCACGCUUAGG